UACGUAGGGUGCAAGCGUUGUUCGGAAUUACUGGGCGUAAAGCGCACGUAGGCGGAUUGUUAAGUUAGGGGUGAAAUCCCAGGGCUCAACCCUGGAACUGCCUUUAAUACUGGCAAUCUCGAGUCCGAGAGAGGUGAGUGGAAUUCCGAGUGUAGAGGUGAAAUUCGUAGAUAUUCGGAGGAACACCAGUGGCGAAGGCGGCUCACUGGCUCGGUACUGACGCUGAGGUGCGAA
rnacentral:rRNA from 1 species